rnacentral:lncRNA from 1 species
AAUCCAAUUUUAUAGGCAGUCUCUUUAGCACCUUAUAGAGUUGUAUUCUUGUCCAUUCUGACAGACACGUAGAUAGCAGAUUUGGGUGUGUGUAGGGGGGUAAAACUGUGGCAGGCUUCAUGCAAAGUAGAACAUCACUUUUAAUAAUAAUAAUAAUAAUAAUAAUAAUAAAAGGUACAGAUGAAACAGCAUUAUUGGGAUUUGGUUUCCACCAUGCAAUUUCCUGAAUGUUUUCUCUAGUGUUAAAGCUGCUCUACAAGUUCUCCUCUGCUGCUGGUGGCUUGUCACAGUGUAUCUGCUUCGUUGUGCUGAUGCAGCUGUCUGUGGAAUGUCUUGUAUUUCAGAUUCCUGUAAAUAGUUUUCCGGAGUUUGAAAUGGUAAGCACAUGUUCUGUGAACACAGCCCAGCCGUGA